ACGCUGGCGGCAGGCCUAACACAUGCAAGUCGAGCGGAAACGACACCAUCGAUUCUUCGGAUGAUUUAAUGGGCGUCGAGCGGCGGACGGGUGAGUAAUGCCUAGGAAAUUGCCUUGAUGUGGGGGAUAACCAUUGGAAACGAUGGCUAAUACCGCAUAAUGCCUACGGGCCAAAGAGGGGGAYCUUCGGRCCUCUCGCGUCAAGAUAUGCCUAGGUGGGAUUAGCUAGUUGGUGAGGUAAUGGCUCACCAAGGCGACGAUCCCUAGCUGGUCUGAGAGGAUGAUCAGCCACACUGGAACUGAGACACGGUCCAGACUCCUACGGGAGGCAGCAGUGGGGAAUAUUGCACAAUGGGCGAAAGCCUGAUGCAGCCAUGCCGCGUGUAUGAAGAAGGCCUUCGGGUUGUAAAGUACUUUCAGUUGUGAGGAAGGGUGUGUAGUUAAUAGCUGCRYAUCUUGACGUUAGCAACAGAAGAAGCACCGGCUAACUCCGUGCCAGCAGCCGCGGUAAUACGGAGGGUGCGAGCGUUAAUCGGAAUUACUGGGCGUAAAGCGCAUGCAGGUGGUUCAUUAAGUCAGAUGUGAAAGCCCGGGGCUCAACCUCGGAACUGCAUUUGAAACUGGUGAACUAGAGUGCUGUAGAGGGGGGUAGAAUUUCAGGUGUAGCGGUGAAAUGCGUAGAGAUCUGAAGGAAUACCAGUGGCGAAGGCGGCCCCCUGGACA
rnacentral:rRNA from 1 species